rnacentral:rRNA from 1 species
GACGAACGCUGGCGGCGUGCUUAACACAUGCAAGUCGAGCGGAGCGGCGAACGGGCGGGUAACGCGUGAGUAACUGCCCCCCUCUCUGGGAUAACAGUUGGAAACGGCUGCCAAUACCGGAUAGUGGGGGAUGACUCGCGUCCUAUCAGCUUGUUGGUGGGGUAGUGGCCUACCAAGGCGACGACGGGUAGCCGGCCUGAGAGGGCGACCGGCCACAAUGGGCUGGGGUACGGCGCAAACGCCUACGGGAGGCAGCAGUGGGGAAUAUUGCACAAUGGGGGAAACCCUGAGGCAGAGACGCCGCGUGCGGGAUGACGGCCUUCGGGUUGGAAACCGCGUUCAGCCAUGACGCGGUAGUGGCAGAAGAAGCACCGGCUAACUACGUGCCAGCAGCCGCGGUAAUAC